UAAUGAGAAUUUCGCCUUCAGAUGCGGCUUCAUAGUAACAUGAAUCAAAUUGCAGUGAAGCCAAACCUAAAGGCAACCCUCGAUUAUAACUCGCAUUGCCACUUUGUCCCGAACUUUUGGUGUGGGCUGACAUGCACAAAAUUGCUCUACCAACUGCAUCUAAGCUGCCAUGGACGAUAAGAUGCGCAAUUAGUCAGCAUUCAACGAAACUGCACAGAGCGGAAAAACAAUUUUUUU